UAAACUACGAUUAGAUACCCUAUUAUUUUAGAAGUUAGAUAAUAAAUUUGAGUAGUAAGAGUUAAGGUCUUGAAACUUAAAAAUUCUGACGGUAUUUUAGUCUUAUCAGAGGAACUUGUCCUGUAAUCGAUAAUCCUCGUUUAACUUUACUUAAUUUAGUUAAUCAACUUAUAUACCGCCGUCGCCAGGGUAUUUUAAGAAAAUAUGCUCAAGAUUUUUGUGAAAAGUAUGUCAGGUCAAGGUGUAGUCAAUAGUUAAGAAGAGAUGAGUUACAAUAUAAAUUAUAUACACGGAAUUCUAGAUUGAAAAAUUUAAAGGAAGGUGGAUUUGGAUGUAAUAUUAUUAAAUGAAAUAAUAUGACAUAAGCUCUAAAAUAUGUACACAUCGCCCGUCGCUCUUA
rnacentral:rRNA from 1 species